rnacentral:rRNA from 1 species
GACGAACGCUGGCGGCGUGCUUAACACAUGCAAGUCGAACGGAAAGGCCCUGCUUUUGUGGGGUGCUCGAGUGGCGAACGGGUGAGUAACACGUGAGUAACCUGCCCUUGACUUUGGGAUAACUUCAGGAAACUGGGGCUAAUACCGGAUAGGAGCUCCUGCUGCAUGGUGGGGGUUGGAAAGUUCCGGCGGUUGGGGAUGGACUCGCGGCUUAUCAGCUUGUUGGUGGGGUAGUGGCUUACCAAGGCUUUGACGGGUAGCCGGCCUGAGAGGGUGACCGGCCACAUUGGGACUGAGAUACGGCCCAGACUCCUACGGGAGGCAGCAGUGGGGAAUAUUGCACAAUGGGCGGAAGCCUGAUGCAGCAACGCCGCGUGCGGGAUGACGGCCUUCGGGUUGUAAACCGCUUUCGCCUGUGACGAAGCGUGAGUGACGGUAAUGGGUAAAGAAGCACCGGCUAACUACGUGCCAGCAGCCGCGGUGAUACGUAGGGUGCGAGCGUUGUCCGGAUUUAUUGGGCGUAAAGGGCUCGUAGGUGGUUGAUCGCGUCGGAAGUGUAAUCUUGGGGCUUAACCCUGAGCGUGCUUUCGAUACGGGUUGACUUGAGGAAGGUAGGGGAGAAUGGAAUUCCUGGUGGAGCGGUGGAAUGCGCAGAUAUCAGGAGGAACACCAGUGGCGAAGGCGGUUCUCUGGGCCUUUCCUGACGCUGAGGAGCGAAAGCGUGGGGAGCGAACAGGCUUAGAUACCCUGGUAGUCCACGCUGUAAACGGUGGGUACUAGGUGUGGGGUCCAUUCCACGGGUUCCGUGCCGUAGCUAACGCUUUAAGUACCCCGCCUGGGGAGUACGGCCGCAAGGCUAAAACUCAAAGGAAUUGACGGGGCCCCGCACAAGCGGCGGAGCAUGCGGAUUAAUUCGAUGCAACGCGUAGAACCUUACCUGGGUUUGACAUGGAUCGGGAGUGCUCAGAGAUGGGUGUGCCUCUUUUGGGGUCGGUUCACAGGUGGUGCAUGCCUGUCGUCAGCUCGUGUCGUGAGAUGUUGGGUUAAGUCCCGCAACGAGCGCAACCCUUGUUCACUGUUGCCAGCACGUUAUGGUGGGGACUCAGUGGAGACCGCCGGGGUCAACUCGGAGGAAGGUGGGGAUGACGUCAAGUCAUCAUGCCCCUUAUGUCCAGGGCUUCACGCAUGCUACAAUGGCUGGUACAGAGAGUGGCGAGCCUGUGAGGGUGAGCGAAUCUCGGAAAGCCGGUCUCAGUUCGGAUUGGGGUCUGCAACUCGACCUCAUGAAGUCGGAGUCGCUAGUAAUCGCAGAUCAGCAACGCUGCGGUGAAAAAGUUCCCGGGGCU